rfam:Ophiophagus hannah scaffold1063.1, whole genome shotgun sequence.
GGCUGUAUAGCUCAGUGGUAAAGCAUUUGACUGCUGAUCAAGAGGUCUCUGGUUCAAAUCCAGAUGUCA